AUGGACGUUAAGACGGCUUUCCUCAAUGGAGAGUUGAAGGAGGAAAUUUACAUGGAUCAGCCAGAUGGUUUUGUAGUACCUGGUCAAGAAGGAAAGGAUUUCUUAUCUCGCUGUUUUGAGAUGAAGGAUCUAGGAGUAGCUGAUGUUAUCUUAAACAUCAAGCUGUUGAGAGAUGAGAAUGGUGGGAUCACACUGCUUCAGUCUCAUUAUGUGGAAAAGGUCUUGAGUCGUUUUGGGUAUAGCGACUGCACGCCUUCUCCAACUCCAUAUGAUGCAAGUCUGAGUCGAUUUGUGUCAAAACCGGGAGAUGAUCAUUGGCAUGUGCUUGAGAGAGUUAUGCGCUAUUUGAAAGGCACCGCGAGCUAUGGGAUUCACUACACCGGGUAUCCAAGGGUACUGGAAGGUUAUAGUGACUCAAACUGGAUAUCUGAUGCUGAUGAGAUUAAGGCCACAAGUGGUUAUGUUUUUACACUUGCUGGUGGCGCUGUUUCCUGGAAGUCUUGCAAGCAGACCAUCUUAACGAGGUCAACUAUGGAAGCAGAACUCACAGCAUUAGACACUGCCACUAUUGAAGCAGAGUGGCCUCGUGAACUCUUGAUGGACUUACCUAUGGUCGAAAAACGAAUACCCCCUAUCCUGAUGAACUGUGAUAAUCAAACUGUGAUCGUCAAGAUAAACAGUUUUAAGGACAAUAUGAAGUCCUCAAGGCAUGUGAAGAGGAGACUAAAAUCUUUUAGAAAAUUGAGGAACUCCGGAGUUAUUACGUUGGAUUAUAUCCAAACGUCGAAAAACUUGGCAGAUCCCUUCACAAAGGGUCUAUCACGUAAUGUGAUAGAUAAUGCAUCGAUGGAGAUGGGUUUGAGACCCACCACAUGA
rnacentral:rRNA from 1 species